rfam:Bacillus sp. MTM 13 3, whole genome shotgun sequence.
GGACUUGUAGCUCAAAUGGAAGAGCAGCCCGCACUUAUCCUGAUAUAACUGCCGUGCAUCUUGCGGGUUCAAAUCCCGCCAGGUCCU